rnacentral:rRNA from 1 species
ACGUAGGGUGCGAGCGUUAAUCGGAAUUACUGGGCGUAAAGCGUGCGCAGGCGGUUUUGUAAGUCAGAUGUGAAAUCCCCGGGCUCAACCUGGGAACUGCGUUUGAAACUACAAGGCUAGAGUAUGGUAGAGGGGGGUAGAAUUCCACGUGUAGCAGUGAAAUGCGUAGAGAUGUGGAGGAAUACCAAUGGCGAAGGCAGCCCCCUGGACUAAUACUGACGCUCAUGCACGAAAGCGUGGGGAGCAAACAGGAUUAGAUACCCUGGUAGUCCACGCCCUAAACGAUGUCUACUAGUUGUUGGGAGAGUAAAAUCUCUUAGUAACGCAGCUAACGCGUGAAGUAGACCGCCUGGGGAGUACGGUCGCAAGAUUA